rnacentral:rRNA from 1 species
CAAGUCUCUCGUUAAAUCCGGCGAUUCAAUCGUUGGACUGCGGGAGAUACUGUUAGGCUAGGAGGCGGGAGAAGCCGACGGUAUUUCCGGGGUAGGGGUAAAAUCCUAUAAUCCCGGGAGGACCACCAGUGGCGUAUGCGGUCGGCUAGCACGCGCUCGACGGUGAGGGACGAAAGCUGGGGGAGCAAACCGGAUUAGAUACCCGGAUAGUCCCAGCUGUAAACGAUGCGGGCUAGGUGUUGGGGUGGCCACGAGCCACUUCAGUGCCGCAGGGAAGCCAUUAAGCCCGCCGCCUGGGGAGUACGGCCGCAAGGCUGAAACUUAAAGGAAUUGGCGGGGGAGCGCCACAAGGGGUGAAGCUUGCGGUUCAAUUGGAGUCAACGCCGGGAACCUUACCGGGGGCGACAGCAGGUUGAAAGCCAGAUUGACGAUCUUGCUGACGAGCUGAGAGGAGGUGCAUGGCCGUCGCCAGUUCGUGCCGUGAGGUGUCCUGUCAAGUCAGGCAACGAUCGAGACCCACGCUCCCUGUUGCUACCGAGGAGUUUUCCAAGGGGCACUCUGGGGGGACUGCCCUCGAUAAGACGGAGGAAGGGGUGGGCUACGGCAGGUCAGUAUGCCCCGAAUCCUCCGGGCCACACGCGAGCUGCAAUGGUUGGGACAGUGGGUUCCGACCUCGAAAGGGGGAGGCAAUCCCGAAACCCAGCCUCAGUUUGGAUCGAGGGCUGAAACCCGCCCUCGUGAA